rnacentral:lncRNA from 1 species
CCGUUGCAGGCUUGCAGACGCAGCGUGAAUCUCAUGUACAGUAGUCUUGUACAUUGAAUCGAACGGAUGCUAGAUCUGAGGUGGAUAGGUCGUGACAGGAAUCGUGAAAAACAGGACUAUGGGUGCUGGGAUUCGAACCUGGGUCUGGAGCGUUCGUGGCCAAUUACGCUAACCACAGCGCUGCCAUCGUCCGGCUGAGGAUAGGGUCCUUGUGUAGCAACUCAUGGAACAGGAUCCGUUGGAAAGUUUGCUGUCGAGUGCCGCUACAGAUCAAAUGGCAAGAUCGUUUAGAGUGUCCAUCAUCCGCACACGAGAAAAGUUGAUUCUUUCACAGCCGUUGCAGGCUUGCAGACGCAGCGUGAAUCUCGUGUACAGUAGUCUUGUACAUUGAAUCGAACGGAUGCUAGAUCUGAGGUGGAUAGGUCGUGACAGGAAUCGUGAAAAAUAGGACUAUGGUUGCCAGGAUUCGAACCUGGGUCUGGAGCGUUCGUAGCCAAUUACGCUAACCACGGCGCUGUCAUCGUCCGGCUGAGGAUAGGGUCCUUGUGUGGCAAGUCACGGAACAGGACACACACGUGGGCAAUUCUAAUCUUCCGAUGUUUCGUACAUUAGAAGCUGAGUGUAAAUGAAGCUCGCAGGAAGAACGUGGCGAGUACGUCGACUAUUUUAUCUUCCUGUCGAUCUACGGUAUAUUUUUAUAUAAAUUGUAUAAAUUCAUGACGUAUGAAUUUAUGGCAUUGGAUAUGUAGCAGACAUGUUUAAAUCACAAAUUGAGCUGCGAAGAGGAAGGUGCACAAGUACAAGGAACAAGUAGCAGUGGUCAAUGUACGAUCAGACGUGUGCGUGGAACGAGGCUGCUGAAAAUCCAAAAUAUUACCACGUUUCUCAACAUAUUUGGCGAAUUUGUCUUCGCAAACUAUUAUUAAAAACGUAUCUUGUUAACAAUUUGAAGACGUUUAUGCAAAUUCGCGUUGUUAUUAACGCGACUGAGGACCCAGAACCGAGACAGACGUUGUUUCACCCUGCAAAUAUCUUACACUGAAUAUCUUCUACAUUUGUGAAAUUUUUCUGACACAUUUACGUUUCCUACAAGUGUAAUGAGAUUCGAUGGGAGUAACUUGAUGCGAGCAAAGGGCACAAAGAACAGAAUCUUCCCGUUAAAAGAAAAUUUAUUGCGACCAGGUGUCCUCAUACGUUUGAUUAAAAAUAGCAAUCCUUCUUUGACAGGGGACGACUGGGAAGAAAUUGACACACGGUUUUAAUAACAGAUUCAACUCUAUUCGCGUUAUUUUCCUUUCAUCGAGGAUACAUUAAUAUCCGAUAUCGAGUCCUGGCAAUAGCAUCGUGUUUAAUAUUAAAAUAGACGACGGGACAAACGCGGCCGCUUCAAACAACAUUAUACGAGCAGAAUGAAUACGCGACCUUUCGUCGUGCGCUCGUUCGAUAAAAUGCACUGCGGUGUCGAUAAAGUGGCCGCGAAAUCGCGCAGCUAUUUACAAUAAAGUUUAAUGAACCGACUCGACGACAAUGACUAUCGACGUGUUUUCAAUUGCCAGGAGAAACGAAGCUGCACGGGCAAACGGCGUGACAGCUAUUGGAAAACAUUUCCAAGCUCGCGAAGAAACGCCGCGAGACUAAUAUCUAUCGUCGCGUGGCUGCUCACAUUCCUUUCCGUGUUCACGCUCCAAUGAGAAAGAAUUCAACGAGGUUCACGAAAUUCUAGAGGCGGAUCGAUGAUGAAAGACAGAGAGCCGGCCAACGUCGAUGCCGAGCAUUAAUAUUUCAUGAAGUUUGCCCGACUCAGACUUGCAACCUCCAUAAAUUUGCAAAUUCGAAAAUAGAAAACCGUCUUUUAUCUAUGGCUUUGAAUUCUCGAAACAGUAAAUCGCAGAGAAGCGGAAGACAGAUCUGGGCAGCGAGAAUUUGUACGGUUGACGAACGAUCGAGAAUGGAGCGAGCGUUUCUGAGAGGUCUGAGAGAUCUGAGACGUUGAAAAGUUACUCCGAGACUUGCCUUUAAAAGAAAUUUAACCCUUUCAGCGCUGCGUUGUCCGACUGUUCACUUUUUACGAACAACCACACCGUGAGCUAUGCAUGUUUUACGAAAGACAUUGUAGUCUGCUACAUAUUUUCGUUUUCGCUUUGGUUUGUCAGUUUGAUAAUUAGUUUUCUUUCGUUUCAACGAAAUCGUCAGAAUGUGAGGUGGAUAACAUCCGUACGUCCUUUUUAUCACACCACUUUUAGCCUAAAUUGAAUUCUUCUGUGAGAAUGCAUUAUCGCGUUCAUAGCGUUCAAAGGGUUAAAGGUACAAAAAUGCAUACAAUGCAGGUGACACGCAUAAUGUGUGCGAAGAAUCCAAAGUAGAGUACUCGUGAGUGAAAUCUCUAUUUAAGACUAGAACUACAAGCUAUUUGUACAAAACCAGUGAAAAUGACUGGUCUUUAAAAAAUACGUAAUAAUAGAAUAUUUGUAUAUUUA